UACGUAGGGGGCGAGCGUUGUCCGGAUUUAUUGGGCGUAAAGAGCGUGUAGGCGGCUUUGCAAGUCCGUUGUGAAAACUCGAGCUCAACCUCGAGACGCCGGUGGAAACUGACAAGCUAGAGUCCGGAAGAGGAGAGUGGAAUUCCUGGUGUAGCGGUGAAAUGCGCAGAUAUCAGGAAGAACACCCGUGGCGAAGGCGGCUCUCUGGGACGGUACUGACGCUGAGACGCGAAAGCGUGGGGAGCGAACAGG
rnacentral:rRNA from 1 species